CCUACGGGAGGCAGCAGUAGGGAAUAUUGCUCAAUGGGGGAAACCCUGAAGCAGCAACGCCGCGUGGAGGAUGAAGGUUUUCGGAUUGUAAACUCCUUUUGUUAGAGAAGAUAAUGACGGUAUCUAACGAAUAAGCACCGGCUAACUCCGUGCCAGCAGCCGCGGUAAUACGGAGGGUGCAAGCGUUACACGGAAUCACUGGGCGUAAAGAGCGCGUAGGCGGGGUAGCAAGUCAGAUGUGAAAUCCUAGGGCUUAACCAUAGAACUGCAUUUGAAACUGUUAUUCUAGAGUAUGGGAGGGGUAGGUGGAAUUCUUGGUGUAGGGGUAAAAUCCGUAGAGAUCAGGAGGAAUACUCAUGGCGAAGGCGACCUGCUAGAACAUAACUGACGCUGAUGCGCGAAAGCGUGGGGAGCAAACAGGAUUAGAUACCCGAGUAGUC
rnacentral:rRNA from 1 species